rnacentral:lncRNA from 1 species
CACUUCCUGUUCCGGUUCAACAUGCUUGAAAUGUGAAUCUUCAUAUUAUUUAUCCAUAGGCUUCUGUUCUCCAUGUCCAGAACAGUGCAUCAUUUGUAACGGAUAUAAUAACUGUAGUUCGUGCAAACCAGGUAAAUGGGGUUCAGAAAUCCAAUGCAAGCUCACUUGCGCAGAUAGUUGUUAUAAUAAAGAAUGUCAAUAUGACACUGGCGAUUGCGUUCAGUGUAAAUCGGGGCUGUAUGGCCCAAAUUGUCAACAUGACUGUAGUGACUGUGAGGGUAGUCUUUGUGAUUUACGGAGAUGCACACACGGAUGUAAACCUGGAUAUUAUGAGUAUAAAACACAAUUAGAGUCAUUUUGUCAAAACUGUCUCUCAGACUGUAGAUAUUGUAAUGACGCAAAAACAUGUCAUGUUUGCAAUGACGGUUUUCAUUUGUAUCAGUUUCAUUCAAAUCAAAAAGCUUAUGUUCACUGUGUUGUUUGUUCAUUAGGAUCAAAAUGUUCAAGUUAUUGUGCCAUUCACAACUGCUAUCACUGCCAAAUCCAAGAUGGCUCUUUGGUGUGCACAGAUUGCUCUGACGGAUACAGAUUUAAUGGUAGCGUCUGCAUAUCGAAUACAAUAAGUUGUUCUGAAAAAUGUUCUUCUCAUUGUGAUGACGAUGGAAUAUGUUUAGGAAGUUGCAAUACAGGAUGGACAGGUGAAAAAUGUUCUGAGCAGUGUUCUGAUAAAUGUUUGGCAUGCAAUAAAAUUAAUAGCGGCAUUUGUCAACAGUGUAUAGGUGACUUUUACACUGUUAGUUGCAAAGUGGCUUGCAGUCCGUCAUGUAUCACAGAAGAAGGUAAACAAACGUGUAGACUAAAUGAUGGAUAUUGUUUGAAUGGAUGUGAACGCAAUUUCUGGGGUCCUGUUUGUGAUCAGUCUUGUUCUAGCGAUUGUAUGAAUAACAGUAUAUCACCAAUAUGCGAGAGAAGCAACGGAACAUGUAAACAUGGAUGUAAGGACGGAUACAAUGGAGACAAAUGCGAUAUAAUUGCAGCUACAAGCAAAACAACUUUUAAGCCUGAAGAUAGAAGCCAAACAUCUGUGAAGUCUGAAGCAGCAACGACAACGCAAACACAAAUAUCUACACAGUGUGAUUGUAAAGAAAAUUGUGACUUCAAUAGCAUUUUCAUUGGAGGCUUUUUCUCCGGAAUAGGAGUGUCUAUAGCUGUUGCAGUUACUUCGGUUGCAUUAUACAAACUAAGGCAACGGUAUAUCUCAAAGAAGUUAAAGUCACGUUAAGAUUCAAAGAAGACUUUUGAAAUGCCCACAUAUUAUAAUGAGGAAGGUGGUCAACCAAUAGAAACACAAGAAGAGAAUAACGAAACAAAUAACUAUGAGAGUCUCGGCAAUACCAGAAACACGGAUAAUGUUUACAAUGAUUUAAAAACGACAACAGUACAAUAAUGUGCCUGUUUCUGCAACAUGUGAACCACAAACACUACGACAACAACAAAUGAAUGAGAGGAAGCUAAUCAGUAGGUUACGUUAGGUCGAUGGUUAAGAAAACUGUCCGAUCCUGCCGGAGGGGCACUUGGAUCUUGGAGCUUGUAUGUUAUCAUGUAUCACCUAUAUAAUGGACAGUUCAAGCUUUUGCCGAUAAAUUUCAUCGAACUCCUCCUUCUAUUGUUUUUCUAUUCAUACCAAGGUCAAGUGUUCACAACCGGUAUCACAAACAAAACGCACGUAGUCUAUUGUGUAAACUAGGUCAGUCAUAUUUGACAUCCCGAUAGAACAGUUUCUUUAUGUAAACAAUAAUGAUUAACAGUUUUGGAUCCGUCCAUUGUGUUGGUGUGGCCUUUAAUGCAAAAAAAAGAUAUUAACAAAAUACCAAGUAUCGGAAUAGAGUUGUUAAACGUAUAUUCUUCAACAUUUCAAUUUUUCAAUUAUAUUUCAUUUACAUUACUUUUAUGCUUAAUAUCAUAUUUAAUAAUUUAGAUAUCUUAAACACGUUUAUGCAAUGUUAUAUAUUGUGCCAUAUAUUGUAAAGAUAAGUUAACA